rnacentral:rRNA from 11 species
UUCUUCUGCCUAAAUACUCUAAAGACCUGGUUCCUGCCUGAUUUUGGAAGCUAAGCAAGGCCAGUCUUGGUUAGUACUUGAAUGGGGGAAACCACUAAGGCAGGCCAAGUGCUGAAGGCU